rnacentral:rRNA from 1 species
GACGAACGCUGGCGGCGUGCUUAACACAUGCAAGUCGAACGGUAAGGCUCCAGCUUGCUGGGGUACACGAGUGGCGAACGGGUGAGUAACACGUGGGUGACCUGCCCUGCACUUCGGGAUAAGCCUGGGAAACUGGGUCUAAUACCGGAUAGGACCGCACCGUGAGGGUGUGGUGGAAAGUUUUUUCGGUGUGGGAUGGGCCCGCGGCCUAUCAGCUUGUUGGUGGGGUAAUGGCCUACCAAGGCGGCGACGGGUAGCCGGCCUGAGAGGGUGGACGGCCACAUUGGGACUGAGACACGGCCCAGACUCCUACGGGAGGCAGCAGUGGGGAAUAUUGCACAAUGGGCGGAAGCCUGAUGCGGCGACGCCGCGUGGGGGAUGACGGCCUUCGGGUUGUAAACUCCUUUCACCAUCGACGAAGGGUUUCUGACGGUAGAUGGAGAAGAAGCACCGGCUAACUACGUG